AUAUCAAUAAGCGGAGGAAAAGAAACCAACAGGGAUUGCCUUAGUAACGGCGAGUGAAGCGGCAACAGCUCAAAUUUGAAAUCUGGCGUCUUUGGCGUCCGAGUUGUAAUUUGCAGAGGAUGCUUCGGCGUUGGCGCCGCCCAAAGUUCCUUGGAACGGGACGUCGCAGAGGGUGAGAGCCCCGUGUUCGGGCGGAUGCCUUCGCCGUGUGAAGCUCCUUCGACGAGUCGAGUUGUUUGGGAAUGCAGCUCAAAACGGGAGGUAAAUUUCUUCCAAAGCUAAAUACCGGCCGGAGACCGAUAGUGCACAAGUAGAGUGAUCGAAAGAUGAAAAGCACUUUGGAAAGAGAGUCAAACAGCGCGUGAAAUUGUUAAAAGGGAAGCGCUUGCGGUCAGAACUUGGCCGCCGUUGCUCGGGGAGGUCUUGCGCCUCCCUCGCUCUUCGGCGGCUGGGCCAGCAUCGGUUCGGGCGGCUCGAGAAAGGUCGCGGGAAUGUAGCUCCCUCCGGGGAGUGUUAUAGCCCGCGGCGCAAUAGGGCCCGCCUGGACCGAGGUCUGCGCAUUUGCUCGGAUGCUGGCGUAAUGGCCCCAAGCGGCCCGUCUUGAAACACGGACCAAGGAGUCUAACAUUCGUGCGAGUGUUCGGGUGUCAAACCCGUGCGCGCAAUGAAAGUGAACGUAGGUGGGAACCCCUCGUGGGCGCACCAUCGACCGAUCCUGAUGUCUUCGGAUGGAUUUGAGUAUGAGCACGUAUGUUGGGACCCGAAAGAUGGUGAACUAUGCCUAAGCAGGGCGAAGCCAGAGGAAACUCUGGUGGAGGCUCGCAGCGGUUCUGACGUGCAAAUCGAUCGUCAAAUUUGGGUAUAG
rnacentral:rRNA from 1 species